CGCGCAGGCGGUCCUGUCCGUCAGGUGUGAAAGCUCGGGGCUCAACCCCGGAAGUGCACUUGAAACAGCAAGACUUGAAUACGGGAGAGGAGAGAGGAAUUCCUGGUGUAGAGGUGAAAUUCGUAGAUAUCAGGAGGAACACCGAUGGCGAAGGCAUCUCUCUGGACCGAUAUUGACGCUGAGGCGCGAAGGCGUGGGUAGCGAACG
rnacentral:rRNA from 1 species